rnacentral:rRNA from 1 species
UCUUGGUCAUUUAGAGGAAGUAAAAGUCGUAACAAGGUUUUCNUUCCGGUUAAAGCUAUUAACCUAUUGAAGCCUGACAUGGGUGACUAUAAAAAUAACCAUGGAGUUCGGUCUUCGGAUUGAACAACACCGCUGAAAUGCUGUGAUCAACUAUUGUUGUACCAGCAGCCCUCUUAUGGGGCCCACAGAUCAAGCUGCGGUGAUCCAACCUAGAGUAUUUUAGGUAGGACUAUAAUAUGACCGGUCUCACCUGAGAUGGUUGAGAGAACACGUUCCGUAGGUGAACCUGCGGAAGGAUCAUUACCGAGUUAGGGUCUUAUAGGCCCGAUCUCCAACCCUUUGUUUACUAUACCAUGUUGCUUUGGUAGGCCCGCCUUUUGGGGCCACCGGGGGCUUAUGCCUUUGGUCAGUGCCUGCCAGUAGCCUUAUUAAAUUCUUUUAUAAUUAUGUUGUCUGAGUAUAAAUAUAAAUCGUUAAAACUUUCAACAACGGAUCUCUUGGUUCUGGCAUCGAUGAAGAACGCAGCGAAAUGCGAUAAGUAAUGCGAAUUGCAGAAUUCAGUGAGUCAUCGAAUCUUUGAACGCAUAUUGCGCCCUUUGGUAUUCCGAAGGGCAUGCCUGUUCGAGCGUCAUUAUCAACCAUCAAGCCUGGCUUGUCGUUGGACCCCUUUGCCAUUGAAAUAUAUGGUAGGUCCGAAAGAUAAUGACGGCGUCGUGUUUGACCCCUAAAUGCAACGAGCUUUUUAUAGCACGCAUUGAAGUGGUUGGCCGACCCAGUCUUUAACCAUCAUUUUCUAAGGUUGACCUCGGAUCAGGUAGGAAUACCCGCUGAACUUAAGCAUAUCAAUAAGCGGAGGAAAUCG